rnacentral:rRNA from 1 species
UACGAAGGGGGCUAGCGUUGCUCGGAAUCACUGGGCGUAAAGGGUGCGUAGGCGGGUUUUUAAGUCCGGGGUGAAAUCCUGGAGCUCAACUCCAGAACUGCCUUCGAAACUGGCGGUCUUGAGUCCGGGAGAGGUGAGUGGAACUGCGAGUGUAGAGGUGAAAUUCGUAGAUAUUCGCAAGAACACCAGUGGCGAAGGCGGCUCACUGGCCCGGUACUGACGCUGAGGUGCGAAAGCGUGGGGAGCAAACAGG